UGGCGGCCUUAGCGCGGUGGUCCCACCUGACCCCAUGCCGAACUCAGAAGUGAAACGCCGUAGCGCCGAUGGUAGUGUGGGGUCUCCCCAUGCGAGAGUAGGGAAC
rnacentral:rRNA from 2 species